ensembl:snRNA U6 U6 spliceosomal RNA
UGCUCGCUGUGGCAGUACUAUAAUAAAAUUGGAAUGAUGCAGUGAAGAUUAGCAUGGCCCAUGCACAAUGAUGACACACAAAUUGUGAAGUAUUCUAUAUUUUC